rnacentral:rRNA from 1 species
CACGUAGGGGCCAAGCGUUGUCCGGAUUUAUUGGGCGUAAAGAGCUCGUAGGCGGUUCGAUAAGUCGGGUGUGAAAACUCCGGGCUCAACUCGGAGAGGCCACCCGAUACUGUCGUGACUCGAGUCCGGUAGGGGAGUGUGGAAUUCCUGGUGUAGCGGUGAAAUGCGCAGAUAUCAGGAGGAACACCAAUGGCGAAGGCAGCACUCUGGGCCGGUACUGACGCUGAGGAGCGAAAGCGUGGGUAGCAAA